UAAAGAGUUCUAUAACUCCCAAACCCAUGUGAACAUACCUAACGUUGCCUCGGCAGGUCGCACCUACCUUGUAGCACCCUACCCUGUAGGGCCUACCCGGGAGGUGCGGGUAAGCCUGCCGGCGGCCCGCCAAACUCUGUUUGAUAUUGAAUUCUGAACCUAUAACUAAAUAAGUUAAAACUUUCAACAACGGAUCUCUUGGUUCUGGCAUCGAUGAAGAACGCAGCGAAAUGCGAUAAGUAAUGUGAAUUGCAGAAUUCAGUGAAUCAUCGAAUCUUUGAACGCAUAUUGCGCCCAUUAGUAUUCUAGUGGGCAGGACCGUUCGAGCGUCAUUUCAACCCUUAAGCCUUCGUUGCUUAGUGUUGGGAGCCUACGGCAACGUAGCUCCUCAAAGUUAGUGGCGGAGUUGGUUCACACUCUAGACGUAGUAAUUUUUUAUCUCGCCUAUUAGUUGGACUAAUCCCCUGCCGUAAAACCCCCAAUUUAUUAAGGUUGACCUCGAAUCGGUUCAGACAAACUCGCUAAAUUGAAGCAUCUUAGUCAGCGAAGGAAAAGAAACCAACAGGGAUUGCCCUAGUAACGGCGAGUGAAGCGGCAACAGCUCAAAUUUGAAAUCUGGCCCUCGGGUCCGAGUUGUAAUUUGUAGAGGAUGCUUUUGGCGCGGUGC
rnacentral:rRNA from 1 species